GGAAUAUUGGACAAUGGGGGCAACCCUGAUCCAGCAAUGCCGCGUGUGUGAAGAAGGCCUUCGGGUUGUAAAGCACUUUCAAUAGGGAGGAAAAGCUGUGCGUUAAUAGCGUACAGCCGUGACGUUACCUAUAGAAGAAGCACCGGCUAACUCCGUGCCAGCAGCCGCGGUAAUACGGAGGGUGCAAGCGUUAAUCGGAAUUACUGGGCGUAAAGCGCGCGUAGGCGGUUUGUUAAGUCAGAUGUGAAAUCCCCGGGCUCAACCUGGGAAUGGCAUUUGAGACUGGCAGGCUAGAGUGUGGUAGAGGUGAGUGGAAUUUCAGGUGUAGCGGUGAAAUGCGUAGAGAUCUGAAGGAACAUCAGUGGCGAAGGCGACUCACUGGGCCAUUACUGACGCUGAGGUGCGAAAGCGUGGGUAGCAAAC
rnacentral:rRNA from 1 species